AAAGUUUUGGUCCUAAACCUACUAUUAUUUAUCAUCAAAAUUAUACAUGCAAAUCUCCCUCCCCCAGUGAAAACGCCCAAGAUCAAUGGAGCAGGUAUCAGGCACGCAAAAAUUUCAUUGCAGCCAAAAACACCUAGCCAACAGGCCACGCCCCCACGGGACCCAGCAGUAAUAAACAUUAAGCAAUGAGCGCUCCACCCCAGCUCGACUUAGUUAUGAUAAACAGGGCUGGUUAAUUUCGUGCCAGCCACCGCGGUUACACGAAAAGCCCAAAAUAAUAAAACCCGGCGUAAAGCGUGACUAGAAUAAAAUUUCCAAAUGAAAUAUAAAUCUUCUCCAAGUUAUAAAACACACCAAGAGAACCAGAAAUCCUCAAUUUCACCAAGAACCAUCUUUGACUCACGAAAGCUAAGAAACAAACUAGGAUUAGAUACCCUACUAUGCUUAGCCAUAAACAUAGACUAUUUUAACACACAUUGUCCGCCAGAAAAUUACUAGUGAAAAACUUAAAACUCAAAGGACUUGACGGUAUCUCACACCAACCUAGAGGAGCCUGUCCUAUAAUCGAUACCCCACGAAAAACCUCACCCCCUUUAGCAAAAAUCAGCCUAUAUACCGCCGUCGUCAGCCUACCUUAUGAAAGACCCCAAGUAGACACAACUAGUCUAACCACAAAAACGUCAGGUCAAGGUGUAGCAUAUAAGAGGGCAAGAGAUGGGCUACACUCCCUAAAAGGGCAUACAGAAUAUAUCCUGAAAAAAUAUAUAACGGUGGAUUUAAUAGUAAGACAAGUCAGAGAGCUUGCCUGAAAUUUGCUCUGAGAUGCGUACACACCGCCCGUCACCCUCCUCAGCACAUUAACCCAAACACUCCAUAAUCCCCCACCUAAAGCACAGAUGAGGCAAGUCGUAACAUGGUAAGCGUACUGGAAAGUGCGCUUGGCCCA
rnacentral:ncRNA from 1 species